rnacentral:rRNA from 1 species
UACGGAGGGUGCGAGCGUUGUCCGGAAUCACUGGGCGUAAAGGGCGCGUAGGCGGCCUGAUAAGUAGGGGGUGAAAUCCUGCGGCUUAACCGCAGGGCUGCCCUUCUAAACUGUCAGGCUGGAGCACAGUAGAGGCAGGUGGAAUUCCCGGUGUAGCGGUGGAAUGCGUAGAGAUCGGGAAGAACAUCAGUGGCGAAGGCGGCCUGCUGGGCUGUUGCUGACGCUGAGGCGCGACAGCGUGGGGAGCAAACAGG